rnacentral:sRNA from 1 species
UAUACUAAACAUAUACAAGUACAUGGAGC